ACUGGCAUUUAGUUACCUGGGAGCCAGGAAUCUCAAACAUCUACAGUGUGCAGGACACUGUCAUCCAUAAAGAACUGUCCCAUCUUAAAUGCCAAUUACCACUGAGAAAUACAAAGUUGUUCAACCACUUCACUGCGGGGCUCAGAGAGAUGAAGACAAUUAACCAAGUCACUUUGGAGGCCAUGUGUCCCAGAUGGCAUAGAACUACAAAGAACUACAUAGAACUACAAAACAGAGAAGGCUGUAUACUCUGUAUUGGACUUGAUGAUGGAUCAAGCCCUUUACCAACUCAGAGGAGUUAAUGCCCAUGAGGAAAGCAGCUUUGUCAGCAUCUGGUCAUCAGAAAUAGAAGAAAAGGAAGGAGAGAGGAAAACACUGUUAAGACUCAUUCCGUUAUGGCCAAACUAACUACCCAGAGGACAGAAAGAUAGUGUGUUUAGAUCAAUGUAGCAAGGUAGAUUGUAGUUUUCAAAUAAAUGCCUGAAUCCUAAAAGUUU